rnacentral:lncRNA from 1 species
GCCCCCACCCACUCCUCGCCGGUCAGAAGCUGUUAGCUUGAGCCCGCCGGGGUCGCCACCCGUUUUCUCCCGCUCUGAAAAGGAAGAGGGGAGCAGCCUGAGCAAGGGGCACUAGAAGGGAGUGCGGAGCCGAGCUGGCUCCGGGACCCAAAUGGGUUAGUUCUGCGCCCCACUGGUCUGCCCUCCCUCCCCAAGGCUUCUGGGCGUCCGGCUGUUUUGGUUUCUGUUUAAGCCUAGACAGCCUCCCCAAGCCGGCAAUAGUAGCGGGGGCAAGUGCCACGGGAGAGCAGGCUCAGGGACUGGGGCGCAGGGAGCCUUCUGGGGUGGGAAUGAGCAGGCAUGGAAUGUAAGAGACUGGUGAAUGGAGCGAUCGAACCGCACAGGUGAGUCUAAGGACCAAAGUUUGGUCCGUUCAGCAUCUCUGCAAGCUGAAGCCAAAGUUUCAAUCGCUCUUUGCGCCCCUGAAAAUGAACACAACCAGGCGGUGCUGGCUUGUAUCCCUCGCUACCCCAUGCACACAUAAGCGCCCUGGGGUAAUGAGCUGAAUGAGUUGCCAGGAACCCUCAAGCCAGAGAGAGAAUGCCUGGGUCCAUGGUCUGAGGGCCCAGUGUUCAAGUCACUAUCUGCCGGCAUCAGUUCUGAUGGGGUCACUUCCUGCCCAGGGGAAAAGUGUAACUGAGAAACAAGUGCAUGCUCCUGCUAACCUCAGCUGACUGGGGUGAUGGGGAUUUUCUCUGAAUUCUCUAGCAUCUGUGGCCUGGGUUGAAACCCUGUCAUUUUUAGUUCUGUGACCUUGGGCAAGUUCCUUAACUUCUCUGCUUCAUUUUCCUUUUCUGGAAAACCGGAGUAACGCCUCUUUCCCGGAGGUUGUGGUAAAGAAUAAACUAAAUAAUGUCUGUUAAAUGUCUAGCAGUGGUCAGCAUGACGCAAAGUAAGCUCAAUAGAGCCUGUGGUGUUUUUGUUGUGUAGGAACGAAGAAGGAAGAAUGAUAGAAAGGAAUUUGUCUCUACAAGGUCCUUAAAUAUUUCAACAGUCAAGAAGUAAACACAUAAUAAAGAAGGUAAACAUGGAGAAACGGGAUUUUUUAAACCGGUUUGUUGAGUUCUUUGUGCUGGAAAGAAUUUCUUCUGGUUAGUUGUGAUAGCUUCAGAGGAAGAGAGUCUGCCUUCAGAGGGUCUUCUUCCAGCUCAGCCACCAACCCUGUGCAGAAUGUUGCUUCCUGCCAGAGAAUAGAGAUUUAUAAGGCAGUUACAGUAGCUAGCACAACAUGUGCCCUGCACUGUGCCAAGCACUUGACCUGCAUUUUCUACUUAGUUUAAGAGUUAUCUAACCUGGGUUCUGUGGCCCACGCUAGUAAUCCCAGCUACUCUAGCUACUCUGGAGGCUGUGGUGAGAGGAUCAGUUGAUUCCAGACAAGUCUAGACAACAUAGGGAGACCCUGUCUCAAACAAACAGACAAACAAAAGCAAACAAAAAACGUGGCCAGAAACUGCAGGCCUUAAGACAACAAAAAACAAAACAAAAACAUGCAGAAAAAUUUUAAAGUUAUCUAGUGCUACCAUUCCCCUCUGAUUGUUAGUCCUGUAGUGGACCACAUAAGGAAACAGCCCAAACAAAUAAAAGGAUUUACUAAAAAAGCACAUGGUUGAGCCAAGUGCUGUGAUGCAUGCCUGUAAUCCCAGGAACUCAGUAGGCUGAGGGAAGAGGAUCACCACUUUGAGACCAUCCUCAGCAACUUAGCAAGACUGUCUCAAAAUAAAAAAGUUAAAAAGGGCAAACAGCUGGAGAUGUAGUUUAGUGGUAGAGCAGCCCAGGGUUCAACCCCUAAUAACACACACACACACACACACACACACACAAAAGCAUAUGGUUGCCUAGUGGAAGAAGAAAAUUAACUACCAGCAUCUCGAGUUGUACCACUUGUCCUAAAUUAUUGGUUUUAAUCAAAUAUAUAAAAUUAUGAAUAGAGGAAAUAUAACAUAGCAUGUGGUCUUUCUUUCCCUUGUGUACACAGGAUAACUUGCUGCUCCAGCAAAUCAAGGAGCUUGGGGUGCGGUGUAACUCAGUUGUAGAGAAAAAGCACAUGCUUAGCAUGUGAGAGGCCCUGGGUUUGAUCCCCAGUAGCCCCUACAAAAAAAAAAAUGUAGCCUGGUUUCUUGCCCUGAGACUGGGCUAGCCUCAAUGCUUUGACCAAUAGGACCUGGCAGACAGAAGUGAUGCUCUGACAGUUCUGGGCCUAGGUCCUGAGAGGCCCAGCAGCCCCAGCUGCUGUCACCCAGUUACCAUGCAGUGGGGAAGGUGAUCUCAUCUUCUGGAGGCAGAGACUUCACAGAGAGAAUAGAGCUGCCUUAGCCCACAACCAGGACCACUAAUUUUCCAGACACAAACGAAUCCAUCUUGGAUACUAUAGCAUCAGUGUGAUAAAAACGAACCUCCCAGUCAAUUCAUAGUAUGAGAAGUAGUAAAAUAUUGUUUAGGCCACUAAAUGGCAAUAGUGGGGCUUUGUUUCUCAGUCACAGAUAGCUGAUACUACUGGGACCAAAAAUUCAUGGGUCUUCUCUUACUCAUUGGCCUUUUUCUCAGUUCCCUUUAUUGGUUACUUUUCAUCUCCUUGACCUUGAAGUGUUGGGAUGUUCCUGGGCUUCAUCUUCAAACCGCCCCCCGCCAAACUUCAUGAUCACCCCCUAGGAGACAGCAGCCAGCUCUGUGUUCACUGACUCUCAAGUUGAUAGCUAUAGCUAGGAUCUUUCCUCCAAAUGUCAGACCCGCAUCCAAAUGUUCAAUUAAUAUUUGAGGAUUCUUCCUUCGAAUACUUUAUCUUCCAAGUCAGAGAGUGGAAAACGUAUUUUUCUUAUUGUUCAGAGUACACCUUGGUCACCCUAGAUUCCUCCCUCUCACACACCAUGCACAGUCAGCAAAUCCUUGUGAUCACCUGCAAAAUAUCUUCAGCAUCUGGCCCCUUCCCCCAUCACCCUUCCUCUCUCCUAUCCAAACCACACACUGCUGUGCUCUUCCCUGCACCUCCCUGCACCCCAGUUUUUCAGUGGGCUUCCAAUGGCUUCUACCCUUGCUCUCUGGAGCCUAACCAACAGUCAGUGCAAUUUCUUGAAAACAAAGGUCAAGUUCUGGGGAUGUAGCUCAGAGGCAGAGCACUUGCCUAUCAUGCACUGGACCCUGGGUUCCAUCACAACAAAACACACACACACACACACACACACACACACAGAGGUCAGAUGAAAUUGCUUUGCAGCUCAGAACAAUAAUUUAAAGACUUCUCAGUUCCCUCAGAGGAAAGGUCACAUCCUUAUCCUGGCACACAAAGCUGCAAUCUCUCUACAAAGCACAGAGUGGUCCACAGGAGCAUAACAAUUACCUGGCCACAUUUUAGAAAUGCACACUGCCACACUCCAGUACAGACUUGCAUCACAACCUGCAUUUUAACAUAUUCCCAGGAGAUCUGUGUGCACAUUCAAGUUUGGAAACUGCUGUCCUAUCAGAUCCAGCCUCAUCCCCUUCAGGAUUCUCUUUCUUCUGUCUCCUGGCUUAGUUGAAUUCCAGCUACACUGGCCUCCUUCUGUCCUCCAACCACAAGCCAUGCUCCCACCUCGGGACCUUUGCAUGUGCUCUCCCUUCUGCCUAGAAUGCUCGGCCCUAGAUGUCUACAAAGACCAUUCUCCCAAGUUACUUCAAGUCUCCUCAAACAUUCCUUAUCCAGGAAAUCUUCUCUUUUUUCUUCAUGGAUUCAUAUCUUCAAUUCUUCAUGCCUGAGUCCUAACUACUGACUUUAUUUUUUUUUUCUGUAGUGUGUGUGUGUGUAUGUGUGUGUGUAUUAGUUCUUUGUUUAUUUUUUCUCUUCUCUUAGUAGAAGGGAGCUCUUGGGGAGAAGAAAUACCAGUCAUCUUGCUGUGUUUCCAGAACUUAGAAUCAUCCUGGCAUGUAGUAAAAUCUCAGUAGAUUGUUGUUGAAUAAAUGAGAAAGAUGAAACAGAAAACACCUUAAUCAUAGCCAUGGGGGUGCAUGAGUGAUAACUCCCUCUGUCACCUUCACUUUCUAACUUCCUAUACUUCUACAGGGAUAAAGUACAUCAAAUAAACUGCCCCCACCCCUAGACCCCAGUGCUGGGAAUGGAACACAGGACUUCGCACAGGCUAAGCACGUGCUUCACCACUGAGCUAUAGCCCCAGCUCCUAACUCCUUUUUAAAAUAAAUAUGGCUGGUUGUGGUAGCACACACCUGUAAUCCCAGGUACCCUGGAGACUGAGACAGGAGAAUCUCAAAUUCAACGCCAGCUGCGGCCUCUUGGUGAGACUCUUGCAACUUAGCAAGAUUCUGUUUCAAAUUGAAAAAUAAAAAGGACUGGGUAUGUAGCUUAGUGGUAGAGCACCCCUGGGUUAAAUCCCAGACCAAAACCAAAACAGAAUAAAGAAACAUGUAGUUUCUGUUUCCUAUUCAGGUUGGAUAAAGAGAAGUGAUUAUGUGUACAUAAAGCAUUUCAGAAGUAACCAGAUGGUGCAAAUUUGCACUUUCCUGCUGUCCAAUUUACACCAGUGUCCAUGUGGGGACCUUCCUUAUGACUGUCACAGUCUAAGGCCAAGGUCACCCCUGCUGCCUCACAGAUGGCAGCUAAUAACCAACUCUCUGAGAACUAGAAGAAAGGUGAGCCCCAUCAGAUCUUGUGUCUGCACAGCUGUCUUCCUGGGGCCCUCAACAGUGGCCUGGCAUAGUGUCACAUGCCUGUAAUCCCAGCAGCUCCAGAGGCCAAGGCAGAAAGAUUGCAAGUUCAAGGCAAGCCUCAGCAACUUAGCAAGACCCUGACUCAACAUAAAAAAAAGAAAUGAGGGCUGGGUCAGUGAUAGGGCACUCGCCUAGCACAUGUGAGGCACUGGGUUUGAUCCUCAGCACUACAUAUAAAUAAAUAAAAUAAAGGUAUUGUAUCUACUUACAACUAAAAAAUAAAAUAAAAUGGGUUGGAGAUGUGAUUCAGUGGUGAAGUACCCCUGGGUUCAAUCUCCAGUAGUGGAAAAAAAAAUAGGAAGGAAGGAUGGGAGAGUAGAAGGCCAUCUAGGCAGCAUAGAUGAUAUUUUUCUCCUCCAAGAAACUCCUAGAUUUAACUUUAGUGGGAUACCUGUACACUGACAGGCCCUUGUGGACAGCCAAAAGCACAGGCUGCAGAAGUAGCAUGAGCUUGGGGAGGUUUCUGUGGGAAUCUGG